rnacentral:rRNA from 1 species
AUUGAACGCUGGCGGCAUGCUUUACACAUGCAAGUCGAACGGUAACAGGCUUUCGGGUGCUGACGAGUGGCGAACGGGUGAGUAAUGCAUCGGAACGUACCCAGAGGUGGGGGAUAACGCAGCGAAAGCUGUGCUAAUACCGCAUGUGAUCUGAGGAUGAAAGCGGGGGACCGAGCAGCAAUGUUUGGCCUCGCGCCUUUGGAGCGGCCGAUGUCGGAUUAGCUAGUUGGUGGGGUAAAGGCCUACCAAGGCGACUAUCCGUAGCUGGUCUGAGAGGACGACCAGCCACACUGGGACGGGGACACGGCCCAGACUCCUGCGGGAGGGAGCAGUGGGGAAUGUUGGACAAUGGGCGCAAGCCUGAUCCAGCAAUGCCGCGUGCGGGAAGAAGGCCUUCGGGUUGUAAACCGCUUUUGGCAGGAACGAAACGGUGUCCGCUAAUACCGGGCGCUAAUGACGGUACCUGGAGAAUAAGCACCGGCUAACUACGUG